AACGAACACUGGCGGCAGGCUUAACACAUGCAAGUCGAACGGAUCCUUCGGGAUUAGUGGCGCACGGGUGAGUAACGCGUGGGAAUGUACCCCUUGGUAAGGAAUAAUAUCUGGAAACGGAUACUAAUACCUAAUAAUGACUUUGGUCCAAAGAUUUAUCGCCAAGGGAUCAGCCCGCGUCUGAUUAGGUAGUUGGUGAGGUAACGGCUCACCAAGCCGACGAUCAGUAGCUGGUCUGAGAGGAUGAUCAGCCACACUGGGACUGAGACACGGCCCAGACUCCUACGGGAGGCAGCAGUGAGGAAUAUUGGACAAUGGGGGAAACCCUGAUCCAGCCAUGCCGCGUGAGUGAAGAAGGCCUUAGGGUUGUAAAGCUCUUUCAAUGGUGAAGAUAAUGACGGUAGCCAUAGAAGAAGCCCCGGCUAAAUUCGUGCCAGCCGCCGCGGUAA
rnacentral:rRNA from 1 species